rnacentral:snRNA from 1 species
AAGUAUAAGGGUGAUCUGGCCACAACAUGUCACCCACUGAUCUCCAGAGUUACUUUGGCUGAUCUGGCUGGAUGGCUAGGUGGGUGUCCCCUUCCUCCUUCAUAACUUGAUGUAAGUCCUUCCCAAAGGACUGUACUUGAGUCAAGGGUAUAUGAAGUAGCUACUGCCCUGCUGGAACUGCCCAACAAGCUUUCAAGGUCCCAAAGGCAGUAAGUAUACCAAGCAAACCAGUCAAGUGGUAUUAUCUUUACUUUCAAACCUGAAGCCCAAA